rnacentral:lncRNA from 1 species
GUGAUGGGGAAUUGGAAACAGUAGUCGAUGCAGACUUGGGUGCAUGUAGAUAAUUAUGAAAGUAAUUGGAAGGCAACUUGCCCCGAACUGGAACCUUUAUUACCCUCCACCUCAGCCUGCAAGGCAGAUUUUACUAUAUUCUGUUAUGCAUACAAGACAGCUGCAUAUUGAUCAGAGUCAUAAACAAAGAGUCAUUAUUUCACCGCCUUAAGUAUCUAUAUUUUGAGCAAGCUGUUUAAAGUAAUAAUUAUUUGACUUCUCCAAUAACUGCUUGUUAGCAAUGGGCUAUUUGUUUUAUAGAGAAAGGGCUGCCUACUGUGAGUGGGUAUUAAAUGUUUUAUUGAUGCAACGAUACCAGGAGAUUUCGGAUGUGAGCUCUUUAAACAUUGGGUCCUAUAAUAAUAAUAAUGUAAUUAUAAAGAUCACCAAUGUAAUAAUAAUGAUCAUGAAGUACUUGGGGGGUGGGGUUAUAUAUUCCUAUAAAGACCUAUUUGCUAGAAACUGUCAUUCUUCUGCUGGAAGAAAAAGCCAUAAUUGUUGCCAAUUGAAUGUUGUACUAAUCCAAUCACAGUAAAUAAUCACUUUGCAUGGUAAUGUUUCAAGUUCAUUUCAACAACAUUGGACUUCAAUCUACUUACUCUCAAGCUUAUUCUAAGUAAGAACAGCUUACAAACAAAAAAGGGAGCUAAAUGGCGUUGGACCAAUCUCCUCCCAGUAUGACUAGAACAAACAACCUCCACCUGCAGAAAUAUAACAUCCAAGCCUUCCCAUAGAAACACUGAAACUAUACUGCUUUGUAUUCAGACAUGAAUACAAUCUAUUUGGGAUGGGUUUGCCAAACUAUUUUAAAAUGAUAGUAACGGCACCAGAGUCACCUCCUGCUGAUUUCCUUUAACAAAGUCUGGCUCUGUAAAUGCUCUGACUCAAUUUCAUUCUGUCACCUUCUCGCUCAUCACAGAUUUUGAGUUCUCGAAGGAGCUGUCAGUCAACUUUGCAUGUUCAUGCACACCUGUCUGCGUGUCUUUAAAAAAAAAAAGCAUAAAAUUCACACAGUUGCCAGCAGCUUCAUAGUAUCCACCAUCACUUCAAAAUAAUUCCGGAUGAAUCCAUUCUAGGAAAAGUCCUAACAGGAAAGAUUUAUGGCAGUAUUCUCUGCUGCUCCGGUAGCGAUUGUUUGCCAUGCCAGUCAUGCCCGCUUUCCACUUGUCUGCGAUUCUCAUCAAUCUACCUGACCAUUGCUAGAUUCUAUCUCUGCACUAAAUUAUUCUUUGGCAACCCAUGAUUACUUUUUUUCCCCCACAGCCCUAAAGAAUCUCAUUCUAGCCUACAAGAACUUCGCAAUAUUUAGGGCUGGAUGACAAGCAUUUUCAUUUCCUUAGUACUCAAGAAUCCUAUGGGCCCAUUAGCUUUCCAAACCUCCAUUCCAUGGGUGCUGCUGAUACAUUAAAAGGUAAUCCCUGUACACUUUUAGAGUCUUGAGCAGGUUGAAUUACUCUUGUAGACCUACUUCAGUCUAACUGCAAAAGGGAUCAGUUCUAACGGUACUGUUCCAUUAUCCAGGCGGAGGACACUAGGGGGUGCUAGAGAGAGAAGGAUAGUCCAUUUUACGGGGGCGGAGGGUGGGUUGAAGGAGGAAAACCAUUUCCCCCUAAUUUCCUGUUAUUCCCCCCACCCAUGUCUCCAUCAUGGGAAAUGGAGAGGCAGCACAACCAGCAAAAAUGGGGGAAAUGAUUUUCCUCCUUCAACUCCCCCUUCCCAUAAAAUGAACUAUCCUUCUCUCCCUAUCGCCCCCUACUGGCCUCCACCUGGACAAUGGAACACUACCAUUCUAAGUUCUGACAAGAAGGAUCUUUCUUGUCCCUAGCAGCCCAUUGAAAGGGGGAGAAAAGUAAGAAGAAGGUAAGUGAAGAGAAAGGCCGAGCUAAGCUAUAGUCCGCACAGCAUCUAUGACAAUACAGUGGGCCUUCCGUAUUCAUUGGGGUUUGGGUACCAAAAUCCAUGGCUGCUCAAGUUCUAUUAUACACAAUAGUGUGGUGCAAUGCUUUGGGGAUUUUUAAAGAAUAUUUUCAAGCCCUGCUUGGCUGAAUCCAUGGAAACAGAGCCCAAGGAUACAGGCUGUUGUUGUUGUUGUUGUUGUUGUUGUUGUUGUUAUUUUAUUAUGACCAAGAUAGAUAUGCUGGAUUUUGUAUCACAAAAUCACAAGUCUAGGACUGUGUGAUGUAUUUUCGGAUCAUGCGUGCAGAUCCCAGUAGGGUAGCCUUUUGCAGUUGGCAAAUCGUGAUUUUG